rnacentral:rRNA from 1 species
GUGUCAGCCGCCGCGGUAAAACGUAGGAGGCAAGCGUUAUCCGGAUUUACUGGGCGUAAAGCGUGUGUAGGCGGUUCGGCAAGUUGGAUGUGAAAGCUCCUGGCUUAACUAGGAGAGGUCGUUCAAUACUACCGAACUUGAGGGCAUCAGAGGAAGGUGGAAUUCCCGGUGUAGUGGUGAAAUGCGUAGAUAUCGGGAGGAACACCAGUGGCGAAGGCGGCCUUCUGGGAUGUUCCUGACGCUCAGACACGAAAGCUAGGGUAGCGAACGGGAUUAGAAACCCGGGUAGUCC